AGUGAACGCUGGCGGUAGGCCUAACACAUGCAAGUCGAACGGCAGCACAGGAGAGUGUGCUCUCUGGGUGGCGAGUGGCGGACGGGUGAGGAAUACAUCGGAAUCUACCUUUUCGUGGGGGACAACGUAGGGAUAGUUACGCUAAUACCGCAUACGACCUACGGGUGAAAGGGGGGGGCCGCAAUGCCUCACGCGCCUAGCUGGGCCGAUGUCCGAUUAGCUUGUUGGCGGGGUAAUGGCCCACCAAGGCGACGAUCGGUAGCUGGUCUGAGAGGAUGAUCAGCCACACUGGAACUGGGACACGGUCCAGACUCCUACGGGAGGCAGCAGUGGGGAAUAUUGGACAAUGGGCGCAAGCCUGAUCCAGCCAUACCGCGUGGGUGAAGAAGGCCUUCGGGUUGUAAAGCCCUUUUGUUGGGAAAGAAAUCCUAUCGGUUAAUAACCGGUGGGGAUGACGGUACCCAAAGAAUAAGCACCGGCUAACUUCGUGCCAGCCGCCGCCGUAACAC
rnacentral:rRNA from 1 species